rnacentral:rRNA from 1 species
UACGUAGGGUGCGAGCGUUGUCCGGAAUUAUUGGGCGUAAAGAGCGUGUAGGCGGCCAGGUAGGUCUGCUGUGAAAACUCGAGGCUCAACCUCGAGACGUCGGCGGAAACCAUCUGGCUAGAGUCCGGAAGAGGAGAGUGGAAUUCCUGGUGUAGCGGUGAAAUGCGUAGAGAUCAGGAAGAACACCGGUGGCGAAGGCGCUCUGCUAGGCCGUAACUGACACUGAGGGACGAAAGCUAGGGGAGCGAAUGGG